rnacentral:rRNA from 1 species
UGGGGAAUAUUGGACAAUGGGCGCAAGCCUGAUCCAGCCAUGCAGCGUGAGUGAUGAUGUCCCUAGGGUUGUAAAGCUCUUUCACCGGUGAAGAUAAUGACGGUAACCGGAGAAGAAGCCCCGGCUAACCUCGUGCCAGCAGCCGCGGUAAUACGAAGGGGGCUAGCGUUGUUCGGAUUUACUGGGCGUAAAGCGCACGUAGGCGGACUUUUAAGUCAGGGGUGAAAUCCCGGGGCUCAACCCCGGAACUGCCUUUGAUACUUGAAGUCUUGAAUAUGGUAGAGGUGAGUGGAAUUCCGAGUGUAGAGGUGAAAUUCGUAGAUAUUCGGAGGAACACCAGUGGCGAAGGCGGCUCACUGGACCAUUACUGACGCUGAGGUGCGAAAGCGUGGGGAGCAAACAGG